rnacentral:rRNA from 1 species
GAUGAACGCUGGCUGCGUGCCUAAUACAUGCAAGUCGAGCGAACAGACGAGGAGCUUGCUCCUCUGACGUUAGCGGCGGACGGGUGAGUAACACGUGGAUAACCUACCUAUAAGACUGGGAUAACUUCGGGAAACCGGAGCUACUACCGGAUAAUAUAUUGAACCGCAUGGUUCAAUAGUGAAAGACGGUUUUGCUGUCACUUAUAGAUGGAUCCGCGCCGCAUUAGCUAGUUGGUAAGGUAACGGCUUACCAAGGCAACGAUGCGUAGCCGACCUGAGAGGGUGAUCUGCCACACUGGAACUGAGACACGGUCCAGACUCCUACGGGAGGCAGCAGUAGGGAAUCUUCCGCAAUGGGCGAAAGCCUGACGGGGCAACGCCGCGUGAGUGAUGAAGGUCUUCGGAUCGUAAAACUCUGUUAUUAGGGAAGAACAAAUGUGUAAGUAACUAUGCACGUCUUGACGGUACCUAAUCAGAAAGCCACGGCUAACUACGUG